rnacentral:rRNA from 1 species
UUAGCUAGUUGGUGGGGUAAGAGCCCACCAAGGCAGAGAUCGGUAGCCGGCCUGAGAGGGCACACGGCCACACUGGCACUGAAACACGGGCCAGACUCCUACGGGAGGCAGCAGUGGGGAAUCUUGCACAAUGGGGGAAACCCUGAUGCAGCGACGCCGCGUGAGCGAUGAAGCCCUUCGGGGUGUAAAGCUCUUUCGUCAGGGAAGAUAGUGACGGUACCUGGAGAAGCAGCUGCGGCUAACUACGUGCCAGCAGCCGCGGUAAUACGUAGGCAGCAAGCGUUGUUCGGAGUUACUGGGCGUAAAGGGUGUGUAGGCGGUUCCUUAAGUUUGCUGUGAAAUCUCCCGGCUUAACCGGGAGGGUGCGGUGAAUACUGAGGGACUAGAGUACGGGAGA